rnacentral:rRNA from 1 species
AGCGUACACGGUGGAUGCCCUGGCAGUCAGAGGCGAUGAAGGACGUGCUAAUCUGCGAUAAGCGUCGGUAAGGUGAUAUGAACCGUUAUAACCGGCGAUUUCCGAAUGGGGAAACCCAGUGUGAUUCGUCACACUAUCAUUAACUGAAUCCAUAGGUUAAUGAGGCGAACCGGGGGAACUGAAACAUCUAAGUACCCCGAGGAAAAGAAAUCAACCGAGAUUCCCCCAGUAGCGGCGAGCGAACGGGGAGCAGCCCAGAGCCUGAAUCAGUGUGUGUGUUAGUGGAAGCGUCUGGAAAGGCGCGCGAUACAGGGUGACAGCCCCGUACACAAAAAUGCACAUGCUGUGAGCUCGAUGAGUAGGGCGGGACACGUGGUAUCCUGUCUGAAUAUGGGGGGACCAUCCUCCAAGGCUAAAUACUCCUGACUGACCGAUAGUGAACCAGUACCGUGAGGGAAAGGCGAAAAGAACCCCGGCGAGGGGAGUGAAAAAGAACCUGAAACCGUGUAUGUACAAGCAGUGGGAGCACAGAGCAAUCUGUGUGACUGCGUACCUUUUGUAUAAUGGGUCAGCGACUUAUAUUCUGUAGCAAGGUUAACCGAAUAGGGGAGCCGAAGGGAAACCGAGUCUUAACUGGGCGUUAAGUUGCAGGGUAUAGACCGAAACCCGGUGAUCUAGCCAUGGGCAGGUUGAAGGUUGGGUAACACUAACUGGAGGACCGAACCGACUAAUGUUGAAAAAUUAGCGGAUGACUUGUGGCUGGGGGUGAAAGGCCAAUCAAACCGGGAGAUAGCUGGUUCUCCCCGAAAGCUAUUUAGGUAGCGCCUCGUGAAUUCAUCUCCGGGGGUAGAGCACUGUUUCGGCAAGGGGGUCAUCCCGACUUACCAACCCGAUGCAAACUGCGAAUACCGGAGAAUGUUAUCACGGGAGACACACGGCGGGUGCUAACGUCCGUCGUGAAGAGGGAAACAACCCAGACCGCCAGCUAAGGUCCCAAAGUCAUGGUUAAGUGGGAAACGAUGUGGGAAGGCCCAGACAGCCAGGAUGUUGGCUUAGAAGCAGCCAUCAUUUAAAGAAAGCGUAAUAGCUCACUGGUCGAGUCGGCCUGCGCGGAAGAUGUAACGGGGCUAAACCAUGCACCGAAGCUGCGGCAGCGACGCUGAUGCGUUGUUGGGUAGGGGAGCGUUCUGUAAGCCUGCGAAGGUGUGCUGUGAGGCAUGCUGGAGGUAUCAGAAGUGCGAAUGCUGACAUAAGUAACGAUAAAGCGGGUGAAAAGCCCGCUCGCCGGAAGACCAAGGGUUCCUGUCCAACGUUAAUCGGGGCAGGGUGAGUCGACCCCUAAGGCGAGGCCGAAAGGCGUAGUCGAUGGGAAACAGGUUAAUAUUCCUGUACUUGGUGUUACUGCGAAGGGGGGACGGAGAAGGCUAUGUUGGCCGGGCGACGGUUGUCCCGGUUUAAGCGUGUAGGCUGGUUUUCCAGGCAAAUCCGGAAAAUCAAGGCUGAGGCGUGAUGACGAGGCACUACGGUGCUGAAGCAACAAAUGCCCUGCUUCCAGGAAAAGCCUCUAAGCAUCAGGUAACAUCAAAUCGUACCCCAAACCGACACAGGUGGUCAGGUAGAGAAUACCAAGGCGCUUGAGAGAACUCGGGUGAAGGAACUAGGCAAAAUGGUGCCGUAACUUCGGGAGAAGGCACGCUGAUAUGUAGGUGAAGUCCCUCGCGGAUGGAGCUGAAAUCAGUCGAAGAUACCAGCUGGCUGCAACUGUUUAUUAAAAACACAGCACUGUGCAAACACGAAAGUGGACGUAUACGGUGUGACGCCUGCCCGGUGCCGGAAGGUUAAUUGAUGGGGUCAGCGCAAGCGAAGCUCUUGAUCGAAGCCCCGGUAAACGGCGGCCGUAACUAUAACGGUCCUAAGGUAGCGAAAUUCCUUGUCGGGUAAGUUCCGACCUGCACGAAUGGCGUAAUGAUGGCCAGGCUGUCUCCACCCGAGACUCAGUGAAAUUGAACUCGCUGUGAAGAUGCAGUGUACCCGCGGCAAGACGGAAAGACCCCGUGAACCUUUACUAUAGCUUGACACUGAACAUUGAGCCUUGAUGUGUAGGAUAGGUGGGAGGCUUUGAAGUGUGGACGCCAGUCUGCAUGGAGCCGGCCUUGAAAUACCACCCUUUAAUGUUUGAUGUUCUAACGUUGACCCGUAAUCCGGGUUGCGGACAGUGUCUGGUGGGUAGUUUGACUGGGGCGGUCUCCUCCUAAAGAGUAACGGAGGAGCACGAAGGUUGGCUAAUCCUGGUCGGACAUCAGGAGGUUAGUGCAAUGGCAUAAGCCAGCUUGACUGCGAGCGUGACGGCGCGAGCAGGUGCGAAAGCAGGUCAUAGUGAUCCGGUGGUUCUGAAUGGAAGGGCCAUCGCUCAACGGAUAAAAGGUACUCCGGGGAUAACAGGCUGAUACCGCCCAAGAGUUCAUAUCGACGGCGGUGUUUGGCACCUCGAUGUCGGCUCAUCACAUCCUGGGGCUGAAGUAGGUCCCAAGGGUAUGGCUGUUCGCCAUUUAAAGUGGUACGCGAGCUGGGUUUAGAACGUCGUGAGACAGUUCGGUCCCUAUCUGCCGUGGGCGCUGGAGAACUGAGGGGGGCUGCUCCUAGUACGAGAGGACCGGAGUGGACGCAUCACUGGUGUUCGGGUUGUCAUGCCAAUGGCACUGCCCGGUAGCUAAAUGCGGAAGAGAUAAGUGCUGAAAGCAUCUAAGCACGAAACUUGCCCCGAGAUGAGUUCUCCCUGACUCCUUGA